UACGAAGGGCGAGCGUGUUGGUGAAUCACUGGGCGUAAAGCGCACGUAGGCGGAUCUUUAAGUCAGGGGUGAAAUCCCGAGGCUCAACCUCGGAACUGCCUUUGAUACUGGGGAUCUCGAGUCCGGGAGAGGUGAGUGGAACUGCGAGUGUAGAGGUGAAAUUCGUAGAUAUUCGCAAGAACACCAGUGGCGAAGGCGGCUCACUGGCCCGGUACUGACGCUGAGGUGCGAAAGCGUGGGGAGCAAACAGGG
rnacentral:rRNA from 1 species